AUUGAACGCUGGCGGCAGGCCUAACACAUGCAAGUCGGGCGAGAGGCGGACGGGUGAGUAAUGUAUGGGGAUCUGCCUGAUGGAGGGGGAUAACUACUGGAAACGGUAGCUACUACCGCAUACCAUCACAUGAACCCAUAUGGGAUUAGCUAGUAGGUAAGGUAACGGCUUACCUAGGCGACGAUCCCUAGCUGGUCUGAGAGGAUGAUCAGCCACACUGGAACUGAGACACGGCCCAGACUCCUACGGGAGGCAGCAGUGGGGAAUAUUGCACAAUGGGCGCAAGCCUGAUGCAGCCAUGCCGCGUGUAUGAAGAAGGCCUUCGGGUUGUAAAGUACUUUAAGUCGGGAGGCGUUACCGACAGAAGAAGCACCGGCUAACUCCGUGCCAGCAGCCGCGGUAAUAC
rnacentral:rRNA from 1 species